rnacentral:rRNA from 1 species
UACGUAGGUGGCAAGCGUUAUCCGGAAUUAUUGGGCGUAAAGCGCGCGCAGGCGGUUUCUUAAGUCUGAUGUGAAAGCCCACGGCUCAACCGUGGAGGGUCAUUGGAAACUGGGGAACUUGAGUGCAGAAGAGAAAAGCGGAAUUCCACGCGUAGCGGUGAAAUGCGUAGAGAUGUGGAGGAACACCAGUGGCGAAGGCGGCUUUUUGGUCUGUAACUGACGCUGAGGCGCGAAAGCGUGGGGAGCAAACAGG